rnacentral:lncRNA from 1 species
ACGCGGCUGACGCUGCGCAGCCAGAGAGCAGGCACCGCCGCCGCCUGGGCUUGGAACGCAGCGCGCGCGGCCAUGGCCUCCGGCGCCGCAGCUAAGCGGGCGCAGGGCGAGCGGGCGGCGGGACGGCAGCCCCGGCCCCGGCCCCGGCCCCGGCCCCGGCCCCGGCCCCGGCCCCGGCCCCGGCCCCGGCCCCGGCCCCGGCCCCAGCGCUGGGCUGACCGUGUGCCCCCUCGUCUCGUCCCACAGAGGCGGACCCUCGACAGAGGCUGCUGCGCACCGUCAAGAAGGAGGAGGAGAUAAGAAUGCUGAGGAAGACUCUAUAACCAGGUUUGUGAGUUCAAGCCCCAUGUCGGGUUUUGCGCUGACAGGCUCCAUGGGAUAUCUUCCCCUCUUUCUGUGUGCACUCACUCUCAAAGUAUAAAGGAAUGAAAUGAAAUGAAACGGAAAAUGAAAGGACAGGAAAUGAAACGAAUGAACUGAAAAUUAUGUGUUUCCUAAGGGAAUGCAGAGAGCAAAAGCAGUUGUUGAGUGUUCUACCCUGGACUAGACACUAUAUCCUAUGGGUAACAUCUGUUCAGUUAUAUAGUCAUUGCAUAGCUUUGCAAAGUAGCUGUGUUAUUGUAGCCUACUUUUUAUUUCUUUGGCAAAUGUGGUUCAGGGAGGUGGAUUACUCGCCCCAUGAUUCCAUAGUUAAUGGGUAGCUGAGGGGUUUGCCCGUCAGCUAGUGUAGCUUCCACAUCCAUUCUCUGGUUCCUCAGCAGCUCUGAGAUGAAGAUCUGGAUCCUAGUGCAGAUCAACUCAGAAUGUCAAAGGUAAGGAUGUCGGAACUCUAAUUUAGGGUUUUCUUAAGAACCCAGGUUAGUCCAAGCAUUUGCCCUUAUAUAUGUGACCACUAGUGCUAACAAAAGUCAUUAGUGCAGUGGUAACUAGUCCCUUGUUUUUGCCAUCAGAGAUUUUAGGGUGGAUGUCAGCUAUGGCCAUGGUGUGGCCAUGCUGCAAAGGACAAUAGCUAUAGAGCCCACUUUGUGAGGCAGUGUUUCAUCCUAAAAGUGAACAGUCUCUACUGAAGGCUGGGGAAGUUCUGCCGUGUUACAGCAAAAUAAACAUACUGUCUUUUAACUCCUCUAGUAGUGG